rnacentral:rRNA from 1 species
GCACAAGCAGUGGAGCAUGUGGUUUAAUUCGAAGCAACGCGAAGAACCUUACCAGGUCUUGACAUCCUCUGACCACCCUAGAGAUAGGGCUUUUCCCUUCGGGGGACAGAGUGACAGGUGGUGCAUGGUUGUCGUCAGCUCGUGUCGUGAGAUGUUGGGUUAAGUCCCGCAACGAGCGCAACCNUUGAUCUUAGUUGCCAGCAUUCAGUUGGGCACUCUAAGGUGACUGCCGGUGACAAACCGGAGGAAGGUGGGGAUGACGUCAAAUCAUCAUGCCCCUUAUGACCUGGGCUACACACGUGCUACAAUGGGUGGUACAAAGGGCAGCGAAACCGCGAGGUCGAGCGAAUCCCAUAAAGCCACUCUCAGUUCGGAUUGCAGGCUGCAACUCGCCUGCAUGAAGCCGGAAUUGCAUAGUAAUCGCGGAUCAGCAUGCCGCGGUGAAUACGUUCCC